ACGCUCGACACCUACGGGAGGCAGCAGUGGGGAAUAUUGCACAAUGGGGGAAACCCUGAUGCAGCGACGCCGCGUGGAGGAAGAAGGUCUUCGGAUUGUAAACUCCUGUUGUUGGGGAAAAAGAGGAUGGUACCCAACAAGGAAGUGACGGCUAACUACGUGCCAGUAGCCGCGGUAACUGAGCGGGCUGCAAGGC
rnacentral:rRNA from 1 species